rnacentral:miRNA from 1 species
CGAUUCUUGGUCCAACUUAAAGGCUGGGAGCAGUGGUGUGUACCAAUAACCACAGCAGUGGGGAGGCUGAGGCAGGAGGAU